rnacentral:rRNA from 1 species
UUCGGCCUUAGUGGCGGACGGGUGAGUAACGCGUAGGGAUCUAUCCACGGGUGGGGGACAACUUCGGGAAACUGGAGCUAAUACCGCAUGAUACCUGAGGGUCAAAGGCGCAAGUCGCCUGUGGAGGAACCUGCGUUCGAUUAGCUAGUUGGUGGGGUAAAGGCCUACCAAGGCGAUGAUCGAUAGCUGGUUUGAGAGGAUGAUCAGCCACACUGGGACUGAGACACGGCCCAGACUCCUACGGGAGGCAGCAGUGGGGAAUAUUGGACAAUGGGCGAAAGCCUGAUCCAGCAAUGCCGCGUGUGUGAAGAAGGUCUUCGGAUUGUAAAGCACUUUCGACGGGGACGAUGAUGACGGUACCCGUAGAAGAAGCCCCGGCUAACUUCGUGCCAGCAGCCGCGGUAAUACGAAGGGGGCUAGCGUUGCUCGGAAUGACUGGGCGUAAAGGGCGCGUAGGCGGUUGUUACAGUCAGAUGUGAAAUCCCCGGGCUUAACCUGGGAACUGCAUUUGAUACGUGACGACUAGAGUUCGAGAGAGGGUUGUGGAAUUCCCAGUGUAGAGGUGAAAUUCGUAGAUAUUGGGAAGAACACCGGUGGCGAAGGCGGCAASCUGGCUCGAUACUGACGCUGAGGCGCGA